rnacentral:sRNA from 1 species
GCUGGGUGCAGUGGCUUACACCUGUAAUCCCAGCACUUUGGGAGGCCGAGGCAGAUGGAUUGCUUGAGGUCAGGAGUUCAAAACCAGCCUGGCCAACAUGGUGAAAUCCCAUCUCUACUAAAAACAUAAAAAUUAGCUGGACGUGAUGGCGGGUGCCUGUAAUCCCAGCUACUCAGAAGGCUGAGGCAGGAGAAUCACUUGAACCUGGGAGGUGGAGGCUGCAGUGAGCUGAGAUGGUGCCACUGCACUCAAGCCUGGGCAACACAGUAAGACUCUGUCACA